CGCAGCACUAGUUGACAGACAUCAUUACAGCGUGAAAUCCAGCUUGUGAACAGGUUCUGUGAGGAAUUCUGUUCAGGAGGUCGCAUUUCAGGCUCUCCACAUCAUAUGUGACGGACUUUUACGUUAUAACAACGAUCACACACUAGGAAUGUUAUAAAGCGCCUAUAUAGGAGAUUCUUUUGUAUAUUAUCUGACUUUAUAAACUCCCAACAACAAUGUGCUUCUAUUUUUUUUUCAGGCUAAAUCUACCCAAGACACUGGCUGUCAGACUGAUUUAGCUGCAUGAAUGUACUUGUCCAGGCUGAUGUGAAACCUUCCCUGUAGCAAAGCCAGUCAGAAUGGAGUUCACAGCCGCAGUGUGUCUGGUGACCCACGGGGACCAUGAUGAAAAUUCAUCUUCCAGAAGGUCCCAGAGCGUCCAGACCCCCUGAAAAGACCAAGGUGUGAGGUGUCUGCUGUUGAUUCCAGCUUCCACCUCAGUGACAGUGCAAGCUCAGUGAACUGUUCAAGCCUGGCUGAUCACCUGAUAACUCCUGUCAUCUGGUUAUGACAGCAUGAGGAUGUCCUCACACACCUGUAACCUAUCAGCUCAUCUGGCAGAAUAGAGAGAGAAGAGACAACACCACAUCUCCUGUUCCUGGAAAGCCUUCAGCCAUCCUUUGAUGACUGAGAACCUCCAUCAGCUCUGUCUCCUGUCUGCCUACAAUUAUUAUAAUAAAUAUUGUGUUUGACAAGUU